GGGGCUUUAGCUCAGUGGGAGAGCGCUGUCCUUAAUACGCCUUAGUAAUUAGGACUUAUUAAGCACGGCAGAUGUCCAGGGUUCGAAUCCCUGAAGCUCCACCA
rnacentral:tRNA from 1 species